GAUAUUUAGGUAGCCCUCUCUUACUCCUGUAACUUGAUAUACCUCUUAGUACUCUCAUUCUCUUCAAUUAAAUCUCUUGUUGACAGAACCCUGCAUAUGUUCAUUAUUCAAAACUCUCCAAGAUGAUCUCUCUCAAAGAUCUCUACGAUGUGUUAGCUGCAGUUGUUCCUUUAUAUGUAACCAUGUUCUUAGCCUAUGCCUCUGUAAAAUGGUGGAAGAUCUUCACUCCUGAUCAAUGCUCUGGCAUCAAUCGCUUUGUCGCAGCCUUCGCGAUCCCCCUCCUCUCGUUCGAAUUCAUUUCGCGCAUCAACCCUUUCAAGAUGAACUUCCUCUUCAUCGGCGCCGACUCUCUCUCUAAAGCUCUCGUCCUCUUACUGCUCUUCUCCUUUGCUAAAUUCUCUUCAAAAGGAAGUUUAGAUUGGUCUAUAACUCUCUUCUCAUUAGCAACUCUUCCUAAUACUCUCGUGAUGGGUAUCCCACUUCUAAAAUCUAUGUAUGGGAAUGAGCAAGAGAGUCUCAUGAUUCAAGUAGUAGUGCUUCAGAGUAUAAUAUGGUACACUCUGCUUCUGUUUUUGUUUGAGUAUAGAGUAGCGAGGAGUAUGAUAAUGAAGAGGGUUAGUGAAGAGAGUUGUGUGGAGGAUGAAGUUGUUCAUGUUAUUGUAGCGAGACCAUCCGUUGAGCUUGAGCAGCAGAGGGUUCAGAUAGGAAGCAGGGUUGCACCGGAAUCGGGAGAGGUGGUGAAUAUUGAUAAGGAGUCAGAGGAGGAAUGUGGAAAGGAGCUUCAUAUGUUUGUUUGGAGAUGUGGGUGUUGCAACUCUGAAGGUGUCUGUGAGAAAUCAAUGAAAGUUUGUAGCAGAGAAGAAGAUAAAGAGAACGCAAAGGAGAAGCAGAAAGAACCCAAGGUUGAACUUAAAUUGAUCAUGAAGGUGGUUUGGUCUAAGCUUGUUAAGAAUCCAAAUUCAUAUGCAAGUCUCUUGGGUUUAAGCUGGGCUCUAGUUUCUGGCAGAUGGGGAAUACAGAAGCCUGCUAUACUGGAGAAUUCAGUGACAAUGUUAUCAAAUGCUGGAUUGGGAAUGGCUAUGUUUAGUUUAGGAUUGUUUAUGGCUUUGCAGCCAAGGAUAAUAGCCUGUGGAAAGAAACAGGCAACAAUUGGAAUGCUGAUAAGGUUUAUUGCUGGUCCUGCUGUAAUGGCGUUAGCUUCUAUAGCAGUUGGCAUUAGAGGCAAAACACUCAAAGUCUCCAUAGUUCAGGCUGCUUUGCCGCAAGGAAUUGUGCCUUUCGUGUUCGCGAGGGAAUAUAAUUUGCACCCUGCGGUUCUGAGCACAGCGGUUAUCUUUGGGAUGAUAGUGUCAUUGCCAGUCACCAUACUCUACUACAUCUUAUUGGGUUUGUAAUUUCUGACAAUUACAGUAGGCUGCUAGUCCUUGGAGAUUAACAAAUCACAGUGUUCGGGAUAAGGAUCUAUCCAGCAUUUGUCCGCUGCAACUGCUCUAUUCCAUCUUCGUCUGAAGAUCUCUUGUUCAGCAUAAGACCGUCGUCUCACCUACAUCGACCAAGAGCAAUAUAUAUAUA